rnacentral:rRNA from 1 species
GGUUAAAAAGCUCGUAGUUGGAUCUCGGCGGGCAGGGGGUGGUUCGCUCUUCAGCGCUACUGCCCCGCUUUGCCCGUGUGAUUGGCGGAGGUUUCGGGGUGCUCUUCGUUGAGUGACUCGGAGCGCCGUCAGGUUUACUUUGAAAAAAUUAGAGUGCUCAAAGCAGGCUUUUCACGCUUGAAUAUUCGUGCAUGGAAUAAUGGAAUAGGAACUCGUUUCUAUUUUGUUGGUUUUCGGAAAUCGAGUUAAUGAUUAGCAGGGACAAUUGGGGGCAUUAGUAUUCAGACGACAGAGGUGAAAUUCUUGGACCGUCUGAAGACUGACUACUGCGAAAGCAUUUGCCAAGAGUGUUUUCAUUAAUCAAGAACGAAAGUUAGAGGUUCGAAGGCGAUCAGAUACCGCCCUAGUUCUAACCAUAAACGAUGCAGCUAGCGAUCUGCCGAGUUUUUUUUGUAGGCUCCGCAGGAAGCUUUCGGGAAACCAAAGCUUUUGGGUUCCGGGGGAAGUAUGGUUGCAAAGCUGAAACUUAAAGGAAUUGACGGAAGGGCACCACCAGGAGUGGAGCCUGCGGCUUAAUUUGACUCAACACGGGAAAUCUCACCA